rnacentral:rRNA from 1 species
AUGGAAAAAAUUUCGUCGGAAACUCGCGCGAUCUACGAGUUCCUCCGCGCGGAUUUCGACGCCGCCCUCGCCAAGUCCUCGACGGAGCGCAGCGAGGAGAUGAUCACCGCCCUCGCCAAGCUGGACAACAAGCUGGAUCAGCUGUCAGGGCGCAUCGACGGCGUCAAGCUAGCCAUCGGCGUCGACCUCGAUGAACUGAGGGGCGAGAUCAGCGCUGAUCAUGGGACUGCGCCGCCGACUUCAGCUCCGGUGUCCCCGAGGGAACCCCCGCCGAAUCCCCAAUCGGCACCGACCAGCGGCGGAUCAAGCGUCUCGCAUGGGCCCCGAUCUGAUCUGGACCAACGACACUCGGCCCCCAAGUAUGUUCCGCCUGCUGCCCGAGGUAUGCCAGUCGAGGCUGCCCAAUUUCGUCAACUUAUUCCAGCGCCAGAAAAUUCUCGAUCGUUUCUACACGAUGCUCUGAAUUUUGGUCCCUGA